rnacentral:sRNA from 1 species
UACAAAUUCACCAAGAGCCUAGAGAGAUGAAGAGAGAUGCCAGGAAGAAGAGAGACACCAGGAAACAGAAGCCCACAGAAUCAUGAGAAGAUGGGGGCCUGCUGGCAGACCUGGGGCCUAGCUGUGGUCACUCUGGAGCCUGCCCCGUGGUGUUUUUAUGAGUGGUGGAAAGAACAGUGACAAUGUGGAGCCCACAAAGGAAGCUCAAGCAGUAACAUAGCAAGAGGGAAGACAAUUCAAAGGGAAGAGGCCCAUGGUCUUCUUUCUUUUUCUUUGUGAUUUCUACUGUCAGGGAGGCUCCUUAUUUAUAAAGAACAUGACUGUGUUUAUCUCCCAAGUUCUCAGCCCCAGAUUAAUGUUUUCAGAAAGACUUGGGCCAUCAACAGUUAGAGGAGAAGUUGCACUGAUGUGUGAGGGAUGCAUUUUGACAAUU